AUGUUUAAUACUAUUAAUCACCUAUUAACAAAUUUCACUCGAAUAUUCCAAAAUCCUUUCAAUUUCUACUUUUCAACUCAUUCACAAAUACUACCUAAAAUAUUAACAUUACCCAUGACAAUGUUUUUUCCUCCUUGUAGAUUCAACUUACCCAUUCAUCCACAAUUUAUUUCCACUUCCUACUCAUAA